UUGGGGGGAUUUACAUUACAGUACGGUGGGGUGCACAUAAUUAAUUUUAUGAUGGGCAUUUGGUGCUUUGCUUUGGGGGACGCACUACCCACGUGUAUCUUUUCCCCCGUACUUACCUUUCGCCGCCCCAGUUAUCCAAUGGUUGCCUGCCAUGUGUCCAUCAAUUAUUGGCAACUGCUGAGCCAUCCCUUCCAACUCCCGUUGGACGCGCGGGUUGCUGGCGCAGGCUGCCAGAAUCCAUGUUCCGCGUAAACUUCAAAAAUAAACCAUUUCCUCCUGACGUGGCGCCAUCGCGUUGUGGACACGUACUUUAUUUGC
rnacentral:lncRNA from 1 species